ensembl:miRNA Mir5622 microRNA 5622
UUCACCACACCCAGCUUAAAGAAAGUUUAAAAAAUAUUCUUAGCUGGGUAGUGGUGGUGC